UGGCUCAGGACGAACGCUGGCGGCGUGCUUAACACAUGCAAGUCGAGCGGUAAGGCCUUUCGGGGUACACGAGCGGCGAACGGGUGAGUAACACGUGAGUAAUCUGCCCCUCACUUCGGGAUAAGCCUCGGAAACGGGGUCUAAUACCGGAUACGACACAGACCUGCAUGGGUUCUGUGUGGAAAGUUUUUCGGUGGGGGAUGAGUUCGCGGCCUAUCAGCUUGUUGGUGGGGUAAUGGCCUACCAAGGCUUCGACGGGUAGCCGGCCUGAGAGGGUGACCGGCCACACUGGGACUGAGACACGGCCCAGACUCCUACGGGAGGCAGCAGUGGGGAAUAUUGGACAAUGGGCGGAAGCCUGAUCCAGCAACGCCGCGUGAGGGAUGACGGCCUUCGGGUUGUAAACCUCUUUC
rnacentral:rRNA from 1 species